UAAUAAGAAGCAAAACUUGCUUUUAGUUUCGACCUAAAAUUUUGGUACAACCGUAUCCUUAUUAU
rnacentral:tRNA from 1 species